AAAAAUAGGAGAGGAAGAGAAGAAUAAGAGAAAAAAGAAAAUAAGAAGAAGAAGAAGAAGAAGAAGAAGAGAAGAAGAAAACAAGAAGAAGGAGACGAAGAAUAAGAGGAAAAAAGAAAAAGUAAAAUAAGAAGAAGAAGAAGAAGAAUAAAUUAGUAGAUUUAGUAGGUAGUUUCCUGUUUAGUAGAAGAAAAUAAGAAAAAGU
rnacentral:lncRNA from 1 species